rnacentral:tRNA from 1 species
UUCGAUAUGGUGUAGUGGCCAACAUGAUGCCCUCUCAUUGCCGUGAGAGUUUAGGCAUAGCCCCGAGUUCGAUUCUCGGUUUCGGAA